rnacentral:rRNA from 1 species
AACGAACGCUGGCGGCGCGUUUUAAGCAUGCAAGUCGAACGGUAUACCGGUGCUUGCACCGGUAGAGAGUGGCGCACGGGUGAGUAACACGUAGGUGAUCUACCCUUGGAUUGGGGAUAGCCUGUGGAAACACAGGGUAAUACCGAAUAAGACACUUUUGCUGUGGCAAGAGUGGGAAAGGCCCUAAGGGGCCGUCCGGGGAUGAGCCUGCGGUCCAUUAGUUAGUUGGUGUGGUAAUGGCGCACCAAGGCGACGAUGGAUAGCCGGCCUGAGAGGGUGAUCGGCCACACUGGGACUGAGACACGGCCCAGACUCCUACGGGAGGCAGCAGCUAAGAAUCUUCCGCAAUGGGGGAAACCCUGACGGAGCGACGCCGCGUGAACGAAGAAGGCCGUGAGGUUGUAAAGUUCUUUUCCUGGGGAGGAAUAAUGAGCAGAGGGAAUGCUGUUCAGAUGACGUGAACCAGGGAAUAAGCCCCGGCUAAUUCCG